CAUGAUGUAGCUUAGCCCGUACAAAGCGCCUGGCCUACACCCAGAAGACUCCAUAGCCAGUGGACGUCAUGA
rnacentral:tRNA from 1 species